CACCAGUGAGUGGCGGACGGGUGAGUAACACGUAGGUAACCUGCCCCGGAGCGGGGGAUAACAUUUGGAAACAGAUGCUAAUACCGCAUAACAACAAAAGCCACAUGGCUUUUGUUUGAAAGAUGGCUUUGGCUAUCACUCUGGGAUGGACCUGCGGUGCAUUAGCUAGUUGGUAAGGUAACGGCUUACCAAGGCGAUGAUGCAUAGCCGAGUUGAGAGACUGAUCGGCCACAAUGGAACUGAGACACGGUCCAUACUCCUACGGGAGGCAGCAGUAGGGAAUCUUCCACAAUGGGCGCAAGCCUGAUGGAGCAACACCGCGUGAGUGAAGAAGGGUUUCGGCUCGUAAAGCUCUGUUGUUGGAGAAGAACGUGCGUGAGAGUAACUGUUCACGCAGUGACGGUAUCCAACCAGAAAGUCACGGCUAACUACGUGCCAGCAGCCGCGGUAAUACGUAGGUGGCAAGCGUUAUCCGGAUUUAUUGGGCGUAAAGCGAGCGCAGGCGGUUGCUUAGGUCUGAUGUGAAAGCCUUCGGCUUAACCGAAGAAGUG
rnacentral:rRNA from 2 species